rnacentral:piRNA from 1 species
UGAGAAUCAAAUUUAACAGAGAUAUUGAUAU